UUCCAGACUCCUACGGGAGGCAGCAGUGAGGAAUAUUGGUCAAUGGGCGAGAGCCUGAACCAGCCAAGUCGCGUGAGGGAAGACGGUCCUAUGGAUUGUAAACCUCUUUUGUCGGGGAGCAAAAAGGCCUCGUGAGGCCACAAGUGAGAGUACCCGAAGAAAAAGCAUCGGCUAACUCCGUGCCAGCAGCCGCGGUAAUACGGAGGAUGCGAGCGUUAUCCGGAUUUAUUGGGUUUAAAGGGUGCGUAGGCGGACUGGAAAGUCAGCGGUAAAAUCGAGAGGCUCAACCUCUUUCCGCCGUUGAAACUGGCGUUCUUGAGUGGGCGAGAAGUACGCGGAAUGCGUGGUGUAGCGGUGAAAUGCAUAGAUAUCACGCAGAACCCCGAUUGCGAAGGCAGCGUACCGGCGCCCGACUGACGCUGAAGCACGAAAGCGUGGGUAUCGAACAGGAUUAGAUACCCCCGUA
rnacentral:rRNA from 1 species